UGCGAGCGUUUCUUAAUACAGAUUAGAUAGUAAAUUAAUGGAGGACUAGAAGGCAAAAAUAAUAAAAACCUGGAUAAAAAACUUCGCUUCACUGUUCCAGAUCAAUAAUUAACAUUGAAAAACGAAUAAUACCUAUCCUUUUACCAGAAGACUUGUAAUUUUUGUAAAAUGGUGGAGGAAUUCAAACAUGGAUUUAUACGACUGUGUAAGGAACAUGGUCUUGAAGCCCAAGAUUGUGUUGUUAAUCUGCUUAAAAGCAUGGAGCAUACUUCAAAGAAAGAGAAGCUUGUGAUGAAUCUCUCCACUAACAGUUUAACCAGUAAAACGUGUGCUGUGCUAGGCAAGAUUAUUGCUGCUGAUCACACAUUUGCUGAAUACAAGUUUGCUGACUGUAUGCUUAGCGAAGAUGGUGAGCUUUUACAAUUUUUUAGUUA